CCGGGACUUCUCUCCGUCAGUCCCGAAUCGCCCACCUCCCCCGGGGUGAGGGGCUGCCUACCCUCUCUCGCGCGCUCCCUCGGCUUUGCCCCCAGUGCCUACCCUCGGCCAGGACCUCGACGCCGUCUCUCUACCGUGCAAAAGCGGGACCUGAGCUGGCGGCAGGUUCCUGGCAUCCACUUGGCCCCUCCCCUCCUGCUGCUCCAGCUGCCAGAUCAUGGAAUGGUGCCACUUUGAGAAAGGAGAAAAGGAACAAAAGAGCCAGGAGGUCCCACCACUGUUUUUUGAGACCCCCAAGUCUGAAUCCAAUGUCUUGCCCUCUGCUGGUCUGCAGAAUCUGGCUCCAGUUUCUCCAGGAUCUAUUCUUCUGUAAUCCACCUGCACCUCAUCCAAGUGGACCUAGCACCCCUGUACCUGCCCCAGGUCCAGACCUAGCUUCACGCAGUUCUUCCUCCCCACUGUCUCUGCUUUCAGCCACUGCGCCUGCCCUCAUCAUUCAAACUCAAGGAAUCCAAACGUCUGUUUCUGCUGCACCUGGAUCUAGGGGCUCAAGUCAGUCCACCCUCUAGUGGUCAAGAAGAGAAGUGGCAGCCUCUGCACAUCAGCCAGGUCAGACCUUGAGGAGGUCAGCACAGGGAAAUGCCAAUGUCCUCCCCAACCCAAGUGCCUCAGAUGAUCCUAACUAGUUAUGCAGUAACCUGUGGUGGUCCCAUUUCUUGUGCUCAUGAUUGGUUUAAGGAUCGGGAUGUGACCAGUAUUGGACAAUGAGAGAUGAGAGGAAGUCGGCUGGAAGGCUUCUAGAAAAAGCAUUCCUCACUAUCAAAAAGAGAUGCGCAAAGCGGCAGCUUCUCUUCUGCUGCUGGAUGUUACCGAAUCUGCAUAUGAUAGUAGGAUGACGGCAGCCACCUUGUAGCAAAGAGCAGAGUUUCCUCCAAGAGAACAUUCUACGGGGAGAAGAGGAAACAGCACCAAUGACAUCACUUUGCCUGAGUUCACAAACCCUACAGGUGCUCCCACCCCCUACAUUUUUCCUUGUGUGAGAUAAUAAAUUCCUUAUUAUUUAAGCCAUUUUGUGUUGCCUUCUGCUA
rnacentral:lncRNA from 1 species